rnacentral:rRNA from 1 species
GGAAUCUUCGGCAAUGGACGAAAGUCUGACCGAGCAACGCCGCGUGAGUGAAGAAGGUUUUCGGAUCGUAAAACUCUGUUGGUAGAGAAGAACGUUGGUGAGAGUGGAAAACUCAUCAAGUGACGGUAACUACCCAGAAAGGGACGGCUAACUACGUGCCAG